GAUGAACGCUGGCGGCGUGCCUAAUACAUGCAGGUCGAGCGAACAGACGAGGAGCUUGCUCCUCUGACGUUAGCGGCGGACGGGUGAGUAACACGUGGAUAACCUACCUAUAAGACUGGGAUAACUUCGGGAAACCGGAGCUAAUACCGGAUAAUAUAUUGAACCGCAUGGUUCAAUAGUGAAAGGCGGUUUUGCUGUCACUUAUAGAUGGAUCCGCGCCGCAUUAGCUAGUUGGUAAGGUAACGGCUUACCAAGGCAACGAUGCGUAGCCGACCUGAGAGGGUGAUCGGCCACACUGGAACUGAGACACGGUCCAGACUCCUACGGGAGGCAGCAGUAGGGAAUCUUCCGCAAUGGGCGAAAGCCUGACGGAGCAACGCCGCGUGAGUGAUGAAGGUCUUCGGAUCGUAAAACUCUGUUAUUAGGGAAGAACAAAUGUGUAAGUAACUAUGCACGUCUUGACGGUACCUAAUCAGAAAGCCACGGCUAACUACGUG
rnacentral:rRNA from 1 species